AUUGAACGCUGGCGGCAGGCCUAACACAUGCAAGUCGAACGGUAGCACAGAGAGCUUGCUCUCGGGUGACGAGUGGCGGACGGGUGAGUAAUGUCUGGGAAACUGCCCGAUGGAGGGGGAUAACUACUGGAAACGGUAGCUAAUACCGCAUAAUGUCGCAAGACCAAAGAGGGGGACCUUCGGGCCUCUUGCCAUCGGAUGUGCCCAGAUGGGAUUAGCUUGUAGGUGAGGUAACGGCUCACCUAGGCGACGAUCCCUAGCUGGUCUGAGAGGAUGACCAGCCACACUGGAACUGAGACACGGUCCAGACUCCUACGGGAGGCAGCAGUGGGGAAUAUUGCACAAUGGGCGCAAGCCUGAUGCAGCCAUGCCGCGUGUAUGAAGAAGGCCUUCGGGUUGUAAAGUACUUUCAGCGGGGAGGAAGGGAGUGAGGUUAAUAACCUUAUUCAUUGACGUUACCCGCAGAAGAAGCACCGGCUAACUCCGUGCCAGCAGCCGCGGUAAUACGGAGGGUGCAAGCGUUAAUCGGAAUUACUGGGCGUAAAGCGCACGCAGGCGGUCUGUCAAGUCGGAUGUGAAAUCCCCGGGCUCAACCUGGGAACUGCAUUCGAAACUGGCAGGCUGGAGUCUUGUAGAGGGGGGUAGAAUUCCAGGUGUAGCGGUGAAAUGCGUAGAGAUCUGGAGGAAUACCGGUGGCGAAGGCGGCCCCCUGGACAAAGACUGACGCUCAGGUGCGAAAGCGUGGGGAGCAAACAGGAUUAGAUACCCUGGUAGUCCACGCUGUAAACGAUGUCGACUUGGAGGUUGUUCCCUUGAGGAGUGGCUUCCGGAGCUAACGCGUUAAGUCGACCGCCUGGGGAGUACGGCCGCAAGGUUAAAACUCAAAUGAAUUGACGGGGGCCCGCACAAGCGGUGGAGCAUGUGGUUUAAUUCGAUGCAACGCGAAGAACCUUACCUACUCUUGACAUCCAGAGAACUUAGCAGAGAUGCUUUGGUGCCUUCGGGAACUCUGAGACAGGUGCUGCAUGGCUGUCGUCAGCUCGUGUUGUGAAAUGUUGGGUUAAGUCCCGCAACGAGCGCAACCCUUAUCCUUUGUUGCCAGCGGUCCGGCCGGGAACUCAAAGGAGACUGCCAGUGAUAAACUGGAGGAAGGUGGGGAUGACGUCGAGUCAUCAUGGCCCUUACGAGUAGGGCUACACACGUGCUACAAUGGCAUAUACAAAGAGAAGCGACCUCGCGAGAGCAAGCGGACCUCAUAAAGUAUGUCGUAGUCCGGAUUGGAGUCUGCAACUCGACUCCAUGAAGUCGGAAUCGCUAGUAAUCGUGGAUCAGAAUGCCACGGUGAAUACGUUCCCGGGCCU
rnacentral:rRNA from 1 species